rnacentral:tmRNA from 1 species
GACAUGGCUAACCAGAAGAAGCUGAUAGACGAGCUCUGUGGGAUUGUUACUUCUUUUCUAUGUCCCCAGGGGAUUGUGCCAGAGAUUGAAAAAUGUUCUACAAAGCUGCCUCAUUUUUCUAAAGGUGGAACAAAGCCUGUGUGCACAGUGAGGCUCCAGCAUGGCCACACUUAUCACAUUGAGUUUGUGUACAAGUUUUGGCAGCACAUUUUGGGCCAGCUUCGCCUGCCCCUACAGCCUUGCUUUAUUUUGACAAAUAACGGCUUGGCCACCACUUUGAAAUGUUUUAUGAGCCCGCCAAGGGAUAUAGACUUUCAGUAUGGCAACAGGGUCAAUAUGGCCUGCGAUGUGAAUUUGGAGAAAAACUCUUGUGUUAUCAUAGAGGACGAGGAUUUCCUGAGGUUCAAGAGCUACCAUGUGUUUCCCAAGGACGUACCAAUCUAUAACUCUAUGGUGGUAUGUAGAACCUACAUCACUGAUAUGAGGAACGCAGUACAAUUUUUUGUGGUCAAGCCUGGAAACAGGAGAAAGAUUGUGCAUAUGUUGGAAAGUAUUGAGGAGAUGCCUGAAACCCCACAACAGUUGUAUUUUUGUGGUGGACGUGGGUAUAAGAUGAUAGGGGCUGGGCUCUCCCUCUUCUUUUUUGCAGCCAUAGUGGCGCUGGCCAGUAAACUAGUAUGGUGAUGGGGGCCUUGGACUAUCUGCGCUUGAUGAAUAUUUCAGUGGAUGAGUUUAGAAGCUUUUGUAUCUAUGGCCACCUCAGUGGGCAGCGUGGAUGGGGUGAGCUGUUGUUGAGCAAUCUUUCAUUUAAAAGAGCAGUGUGCCAUAUACUGAAAAUACAGUGUGAGACUAAGAAGAGGUGGACAAACAAGGUAUUGGUGGCGAAUAGUGCGUUGUCCCUACUGACCCUCUUCAGGAUGGUUCUUCAUGAAUGUGUUUUUUCACACAAAUAUUUUAUACCUGACAGGAUCGAGGACAUGUGUUUCCCGCUGACCAAAAUACUCACUGUGCCCUUCCUCAAGGCCCUAGAUCUGUAUCUCUCCCAGUUUUCCAUCUCAUGCAAGUUUCCCAUAAUUAAAAUAUCCACUGUGAAUCCUA